UAUUGCCUGAUGAAGAAUACAUGAACGAAAAAAGCGCCUGAUCGGCGCUUUUUAUUGGCG
rfam:Salmonella enterica subsp. enterica serovar Typhimurium str. LT2, complete genome.